GACGAACGCUGGCGGCGUGCUUAACACAUGCAAGUCGAACGAAGAGCGAUGGAAGCUUGCUUCUAUCAAUCUUAGUGGCGAACGGGUGAGUAACGCGUAAUCAACCUGCCCUUCAGAGGGGGACAACAGUUGGAAACGACUGCUAAUACCGCAUACGAUCUAACCUCGGCAUCGAGGAUAGAUGAAAGGUGGCCUCUAUUUAUAAGCUAUCACUGAAGGAGGGGAUUGCGUCUGAUUAGCUAGUUGGAGGGGUAACGGCCCACCAAGGCGAUGAUCAGUAGCCGGUCUGAGAGGAUGAACGGCCACAUUGGGACUGAGACUCGGCCCAGACUCCUACGGGAGGCAGCAGUGGGGAAUCUUCCGCAAUGGACGAAAGUCUGACGGAGCACCGCCGCGUGAGUGAUGACGGCCUUCGGGUUGUAAAGCUCUGUUAAUCGG
rnacentral:rRNA from 1 species